rnacentral:rRNA from 1 species
GUGGUCCUACGGGAGGCAGCAGUAGGGAAUUUUCGUCAAUGGGCGCAAGCCUGAACGAGCAAUGCCGCGUGAACGAGGAAGGUCUUCGGAUCGUAAAGUUCUGUUGAAGGGGAAAAAGAGCGGAGAGAGGAAAUGGUCUCCGAUUGAUAUUACCCUUCGAGGAAGUCACGGCUAACUACGUGCCAGCAGCCGCGGUAAUGCGUAGGUGGCGAGCGUUAUCCGGAAUGAUUGGGCGUAACGGGUGCGUAGGCGGCCUGCUAAGUCUGGAGUGAAAGGAACCGGAUCAACCGGUACAGGCUCUGGAA